CAGCAGUAGCCGCGGUAAUACGGAGGGUGCAAGCGUUAAUCGGAAUUACUGGGCGUAAAGCGUGCGUAGGCGGUUCGUUAAGUCUGUUGUGAAAGCCCCGGGCUCAACCUGGGAAUGGCAAUGGAUACUGGCGAGCUAGAGUGUGUCAGAGGAUGGUGGAAUUCCCGGUGUAGCGGUGAAAUGCGUAGAGAUCGGGAGGAACAUCAGUGGCGAAGGCGGCCAUCUGGGACAACACUGACGCUGAGGCACGAAAGCGUGGGGAGCAAACAGGAUUAGAUACCCGCGUAGUCCCUGUCUCUUAUAC
rnacentral:rRNA from 1 species